ACGGGAGGCAGCAGUGGGGAAUAUUGCGCAAUGGGGGAAACCCUGACGCAGCGACGCCGCGUGAGUGAUGAAGUAUUUCGGUAUGUAAAGCUCUAUCAGCAGGGAAGAUAAUGACGGUACCUGACUAAGAAGCCCCGGCUAACUACGUGCCAGCAGCCGCGGUAAUACGUAGGGGGCAAGCGUUAUCCGGAUUUACUGGGUGUAAAGGGAGCGCAGACGGCUUUGCAAGUCUGAUGUGAAAGGCAGGGGCUCAACUCCUGGACUGCAUUGGAAACUGUAGGGCUAGAGUGUCGGAGAGGUAAGCGGAAUUCCUAGUGUAGCGGUGAAAUGCGUAGAUAUUAGGAGGAACACCAGUGGCGAAGGCGGCUUACUGGACGAUAACUGACGUUGAGGCUCGAAAGCGUGGGGAGCAAACAGGAUUAGAUACCCUGGUA
rnacentral:rRNA from 1 species